rnacentral:rRNA from 1 species
GACGAACGCUGGCGGCGUGCCUAACACAUGCAAGUAGAACGAGUUGCGAACGGGUGAGUAAUGUCUGGGAAACUGCCCGAUGGAGGGGGAUAACUACUGGAAACGGUAGCUAAUACCGCAUACCAUCGGAUGUGCCCAGAUGGGAUUAGCUAGUAGGUGGGGUAACGGCUCACCUAGGCGCCGAUCCCUAGCUGGUCUGUGAGGAUGUUCAGCCACACUGGAACGGUGACACGGUCCAGACUCCUACGGGAGGCAGCAGUGGGGAAUAUUGCACAAUGGGAGCAAGCCUGAUGCAGCCAUGCCGCGUGUAGGAAGAAGGCCUUCGGGUUGUAAAGUACUUUCAGCGAGGAGGCGUUACUCGCAGAAGAAGCACCGGCUAACUCCGUGCCAGCAGCCGCGGUAAUUC